rnacentral:rRNA from 1 species
CGGCAGGCCUAACACAUGCAAGUCGAACGGUAACAGGAAGCAGCUUGCUGCUUGCUGACGAGUGGCGGACGGGUGAGUAAUGUCUGGGAAACUGCCCGAUGGAGGGGGAUAUCUACUGGAAACGGUAGCUAAUACCGCAUAAUGUCGCAAGACCAAAGAGGGGGACCUUCGGGCCUCUUGCCAUCGGAUGUGCCCAGAUGGGAUUAGCUUGUUGGUGAGGUAACGGCUCACCAAGGCGACGAUCCCUAGCUGGUCUGAGAGGAUGACCAGCCACACUGGAACUGAGACACGGUCCAGACUCCUACGGGAGGCAGCAGUGGGGAAUAUUGCACAAUGGGCGCAAGCCUGAUGCAGCCAUGCCGCGUGUAUGAAGAAGGCCUUCGGGUUGUAAAGUACUUUCAGCGGGGAGGAAGGUGUUGUGGUUAAUAACCGCAGCAAUUGACGUUACCCGCAGAAGAAGCACCAGCUAACUCCGUGCCAGCCGCGGC